rnacentral:tRNA from 1 species
CGCCGGGUGCACGGCCGGGGCCGGUGUCGCUCUGCUGGUGCGGGAGCUGGCCCGCCCGGUUCCGGCGCUCGGCCCGGCGU